CAAUCCUCAGUCCUUGUGAUCAGGAUGUCCAGUUCUCCUGCUGACUUUUCAAACAAUGGUGGAAUAGAGAGAGAGAGAGUUCGCAGGCUUGAAUUCACAAGCUGGUGUCAGGAGAAGAAGCUGUAAACAUCUUGAGCUAAUAAUUGUUUAAUUGGAGGACAAGGCAAUAAUGGUAACCACACCUAGUGAGGAGAUACUGGGGCUAAAUAAUUAUAAGGUGCUGAGGCUGCUCACAAAGCCACAACCCCCAAGAGAUCAGGGUAUCCUAGGACCCACAGGGUUUGGCACUGAAACUCACAGGUCUCUGGAGCAGCACCUGCAGUUAGGGUGGACAUGUGCACUCUGUCAAGAUGGUAUUGGAGAUUGCCAUCACAGGGUCCCUACAGGUCAUAUCGAGGUGCGUGACAGCGAGAGAAAAAAUAUAAAGAGAAAAAUGUGACAGACAUAACCAGUGGUGGUUACAAUAAGUCCUCAUUUUACCAUUCUUUUAAAAACUGUAUAUAUAUAUUUUAUGCACUCUUCUCUACCUCUCUUUGGAUCAGAAAUGGAACAGAAACACAGAGCCACAUAGAGAGCAAAAGCUAAGCUCCUGUGGACUUCCACCAGUUUAGAAGCAGGUAGAGGCCACCCAAAGUAUGGCUUCUGUGAAGGUAACAAAAUAAAGGUUCUCCAAGCAAGCCCAAUGCCUAGGAGGCAACCUGACCCAGCAGGUAGCAGAUGUGUUGGCAGGAUCUUUACUGUCACCUCGGAGGGGAGCCCAGAGUGCCAAUAUUUUAGCUGGCUCUGGAUUGGGAGCCAGAGAAACUAGAUGGAAGAAAAGUAAAUCCCUAGACAGGGAGAAGAGUGGGAAGACAGAAAGAAAGAGGAGAAGGAAAGGAAGGAAAAAGAAGAAGGAAAGAGUUUUUCCGCUAAAAAUAAACCUGCAAACCAAAUUUCCAAAACAUAUGAAGGAAAAUAUUUCUAAGAAAGACUGGCAACAAAAUCAAUAAUCAAAAAGUGAAAUAACCUCAGACAAAUGAAAGCAGUAGAACAAUCUACAGGAAAAGUGAAAAAAAGGGCAUUUUCUGGCUAAAAAAAAGAUGAGUCGAUAGAAAACUAAAUAUGUGUUUUUUCAAAGAAUUCUCAAAGGGAGAAAUGAAUCACAAUAUUCAAGAAACAAACAAGGAAUUAUGAAACUAAAAUAGGAAUAAAUGAAACAAGAACAUAAGGAUAUGAAAAAGAGCUUAUCAGAAAUUCUGGAAAAUAAAAAGUCCUGAGAGCUUUAAAAAGGGCAUCUCUCUCCCUCUGGAGUUUGAAGCGCAAAGGCGGUGGCCUGCCUCCGAGGGUUGCCUGUGCUUGUUCACCUGAUGGCUGGACAGAGAUCCAAGAGAGAGAAGGCAGAAGCAUUCAAGACCUCUUGAGGCCUAAGCUUGGAACUGGCACACUGUCACGUCUGCUGCAUUCUAUUGGCCAAAUUAAGUCCAAAGUCAUCCUAGAUUUAAGGGGAAGAGAAAAGGAUUUUACCUGUUGAUGAGAAGAGCUACAAACUCUCAUUGUAAAGUGUAUGGAUAUAGGGAGGGUGGAGAAUUGUGACCCUUUUUUACAGUCUUCCACACGUGUGCAUAUAGAAAUAAUACACGACUGUUUAUUGCAGCAUUUUUGAUAAUAACAAAACAUUGGAAACAACCUAAACACCCUUCACUAAGGGAAUGGGCAAGUUGUGGCACAUCCAUACCAUGGAAUACUGUGUAUCCAUUGAAAGGAAUGAGCUAGGUCUCUUUCUGGGCCGACUAGAAGAAAUAUAAAGCAAAACUUUUUUUUUUUUAAAUAAAAAAAGACAACUGAAGAGCAGUUUGUACAGAAUAAUACCAUUUAUAUAUUUUUAAAACCUACACAGCAUUACGUAUUUUUGAUGGGUACAUGUAUAUGCUUGUAGAGGUAUUUUAGAAGGUCUAGAAGCACACACACCUGACUUACAGCAGUGAUUCUCUUGGGGAGUGAGGGAGGAGGCAAGAAUUCAAAGUGGUGGUCGGAGAGGAUUUUAGCUUCAUCUGUUAGGUUAUUUUUUUCA